AGUGAACGCUGGCGGUAGGCCUAACACAUGCCAGUCGAACGGCAGCACAGUAAGAGCUUGCUCUUACGGGUGGCGAGUGGCGGACGGGUGAGGAAUACAUCGGAAUCUACUUUUUCGUGGGGGAUAACGUAGGGAAACUUACGCUAAUACCGCAUACGACCUACGGGUGAAAGCAGGGGAUCUUCGGACCUUGCGCGAUUGAAUGAGCCGAUGUCGGAUUAGCUAGUUGGCGGGGUAAAGGCCCACCAAGGCGACGAUCCGCAGCUGGUCUGAGUGGAUGAUCAGCCACACUGGAACUGAGACACGGUCCAGACUCCUACGGGAGGCAGCAGUGGGGAAUAUUGGACAAUGGGCGCAAGCCUGAUCCAGCCAUACCGCGUGGGUGAAGAAGGCCUUCGGGUUGUAAAGCCCUUUUGUUGGGAAAGAAAAGCAGCAGGUUAAUACCCCGCUGUUCUGACGGUACCCAAAGAAUAAGCACCGGCUAACUUCGUG
rnacentral:rRNA from 1 species